rnacentral:lncRNA from 1 species
GGCAAGGUGGAUUCAGCCAAUGGCAAGACAGCGCGCGGCGGCCCCGGCCAAUGGGUAGGCAGCGCGGGGCGGCCCCGAGAGCAGCUCCCCGCCCGUGUGGCAGCCGCGGCCGCCGCCGUGUACAUUUUCGCGCGCACAGGGGAUCCGCCUGCCUGACGGGGCCGUGGUGCGGGCGCGGCGGCAGCGCUUCGGAAUCGCGGCUACCGCAACAACGUCCCAGGAUGGCGCAGCGGAGCGUGAAUGACGGCCGGCACCGCCGGCGCCGGGUGCGGCGACGGUCUACGGUGGGAGGCCUGUGGGGGAUCCAGUGUGGAGACGUGGCUGUGGCGGAGGCAGCCCCCUGUGGGAGCGGCUGUGGAGCCGGGCACCUGGCAUGGCCCUUGGCCGGGAAGCGCUGGGUGGCGGGGAGAGGCGGGACCGGAGUGGCGGGGCCAGGCCCGUCCCUGCUGCCGUGCUGGGUGACAGCGCCCAGGGUGCGAUGGGGUGAACCGAACUCUUCCUCCUGGAACAGCCAAGGAACGUAGACAGCCAAGGCCUGAGGAGAAGCGGCGGCAGUCCCCGAGCCCAGCACCGUCGCCGGGGAACGGAAGGUUGCGCAGGAGGAGCAUCUGCCUGCUGGUGCCUUGCGAGACCCACCCACUGGUGCAGGUACGUCGCUGUCUCGCAGCCUCUUUUGGCCUCCUGUGGGCAUAGAAUGUGCUCAGUGCAAUUCCUGCAGGGCUGGGGGCAGGCUGACCUGCCUGCCUUGGGGCAGGAGGUCUCGUCCUUGGCUGAGUGGGAAGUGACGCUCUCCCCUGCCCCAGCGUGUGCUGGGCUGUGCGUGACUGUGCUGCCCGCUGCCGGAGCAGCGACUGGCCCGGGCAAGGCUGCUGUGCCCUCAGCGCGAAGCUGGGGGCCAAAACGAAUGGGGAUCGGAGCUCUGCGGUGGCUGUGGCAGAACCACGGGCUUCACAGGUCUGGUGCCGACCUGCUUCUACACCUCCUUCAGAGCAGUACUGCCGGCUUCCCUGAGAAGGAACUAAGCUACUGCUCUCUCUUGACAGCCCCUGGACCUGGACCUGGGCGAAAACAUCAUAGCCAGGAUCCAGAAGGAGAGGGAGGCAGCGCUCUCGCCGGCUCUUGGGGCCUAAGAUGUGGUCCCCAGCACCAGUGGGAAAGGUAUGUCCCUGGGCACAGUCAUCGCCCGGGGCUCCUCAGGCACCAACUGCACACAGGCAGCGUUUGCAGCCACAACAUCGGUCGUUUCUGGGCUGGCCGCUUUUACCACCACCGGCCUUACUCACACCAGCCAGCCCAGAAGCAGGAGCGUGCCCGUGCUGGGAGGUUCGUCCACCCCUGCCUCUUCGACCCGACCAAGAUCCAGGAUUGAGGGAACUCGUAAGCGGAUAAAGGCACAGAUCAAGCAUUCCCGCAAUAAGUAACAGCCAGUGCUGCUGGCCCCCCAGCUGCAAGGGCUCUGGUCCGGAGCAGCCCCAAGGCGGGACUGGAGUGAUGGGGCCAGGCCAGUCCCUGCUGCCGGCAAGAAACCGUCCUGGGUGGCAGCGCCUGGAGUGGGACAGGGUGAACCGAACUCUUGCUUCUGGAACAGUUCCACCACCAAGGCUGGAUGAACCUCUCUGCAUCUCUGCACUUGUUAUACUGUUGUUAUUGUUGUUCUAUUGUUGUUCUAUUGUUGUUAUACUGCUGUUGAUUUAUUGUUAUUACACUCUUCUUCUACCACAGUUGUCAUACUGUUGUUUAUACUCUUUUUACUACCAUUGUACUAUUGUUUUACUGUGAAUACACAAUUUUCCCUCCUUCCCCCUCCAGCUUUUUAUAUCCCCCACUUAAAAUAAAC